rnacentral:rRNA from 1 species
UACGAAGGGGGCUAGCGUUGUUCGGAAUCACUGGGCGUAAAGCGCACGUAGGCGGAUUUGUUAGUCAGGGGUGAAAUCCCGGGGCUCAACCUCGGAACUGCCUUUGAUACUGCAGAUCUCGAGUCCGGAAGAGGUGAGUGGAAUUCCUAGUGUAGAGGUGAAAUUCGUAGAUAUUAGGAAGAACACCAGUGGCGAAGGCGGCUCACUGGUCCGGUACUGACGCUGAGGUGCGAAAGCGUGGGGAGCAAACAGG